UGUAAGGCCACCGUGUCUUUAAACCCUGAUCAGUCAUUCAUUUAUUCAAUGCCGAUUUUCCUUUUGUUCACAUCUUGUAUUUAGAGAGUUAUAGUGAAGAAAAGAUUAAUACCGCCUGGAGGGGAACAGUAUUCAAAAAGGAAUGCGAACGUGACCCUGGUAUUGUGCAACAUAAAACACGAUUUGAAUCCGGCUUCACAUCGAGACUCUUCUCUCCCUAUAUUAACAUUUGUCAAAGAUUUCUCAGCGCUCAUACGUCUCCCAUGUUUGUCAGAGAUUUCUCAGCCCUCACAUAACGUCUCCGAUAUCUGCCAGAGAUUUCUCAGCGCUCACAAAACGUUUCCCACAUUUGUCAACAAUUUGCCAACGAACAAGCAAACGAUCUCUCAGAUUACCAUCAUGGUGGGUGAUAAAUGUGUGGGGGUCAGCCUGAUAAUACUCGCCCUAGCCUUCCCCAGCCUGGAUGCAGCUGUUUGCAACUUGAGGGGUUUAAACUCGGCCUGUUGCGGCACCAGGGCGUAUAACCCUCGCACCGACAUUUGCUGCAGUGGCGUUCUACAGAGGAAGGGUUUAAACUCGGCGUGCUGUGGCACCAGGGCGUAUAACUCCCGUACCGACAUUUGCUGUAGUGGCGUUCUACAGAGA